GAGGAAUUAAAGCUCUAGAAUAUUACAGACAUGGGAGAGGGGCACUUAAAAGAUUAUGGACAGUUUAUGAGAUCUUUUACAGUUGAUGAGCAUGACCCUCCUUGAGAGUGUUUCAUUUUUUCCCCUUUUCGACGUUGCCAGAAUAGUUUGCGCAGUUGUUAUCUUUCAUAUAUUUUUUAUUUGAAUUCCGUGUGAGCGCCGUGAAGACACUGUGACUAUGAGCUGCGUACAGACGUGAACAAAUGGAGAGAGGGCAGCAGGAAGGAGUUGGAGACAGGUGGGUUAAUGUGCUUCCUGGGCCGACUUCAGGGGGAACUGUGGGGGACAUUGAUCUGAGUCUUCGGAAAACCCAGGGAAGACCUCAGACAGCACAGCCGGUGACAGGAUUCGAACCCGUGUCACCUCGCAGUCUCGGCGUGGCGAAGCGAUCAUCCUAACCCCUAUGCUAGUUUUGGUAUUAUCCCUCAUCUUAAAGUGAACCUCGACUGUCCACCAAUCAUCGUUUCGUAGCAUGCUUUCUACCACAUACAUCUUGGAACGCCAAGGGAAGUAUGUAACUACAAAGCAUGGAGAUGGCCUGAUAUGGAAUUUGAGACAACACGCUUUCUUCCACGCUUGUGACGUCACGUGUCAUCUCUAACGAUGGCAGAUCAUCAGGGCAGUUUGUAAGUCACGUGGCACGUUACAGGAGGGACAUUGGUCUGACCUUGGAAAACCCAUGACGACGAACCAGCAAACCAUCAGUGCAGGGUCCAAAGACUGACACGUGAUCCGCGGGGUAUGUGGACAAACAUCACGUGAUGUCCAACAAAGCAGGUAUUCGUUGAGUCAUUCGAAGACACUCUCUCAUCCAACCAAGGGCACCCAGUGGAACUGCAACGCUUGUACGCUUCUAUAACAUCGAAUAAGAUACCUUGCUCGUACUCCGCUACCUGAGCUGCCCAGGACGUUAAGCCUGAGUAGGUAGAAGCACACAGAGGGACGACAUCAACACAGGAGCACACAGUCUGUGUGCCAGGCUCAGGCUUUUACGUAAUGGACUUCUACCACCAGCUUGCCUGCAUAUGCGCCAUCUCGUAGGGUUUCCUUGCUCUGCUGUACGGUACGUAAUCUUUUUAUUUAGCCCCGACUCUAGAAUGCAUUACCCAACCCCACACGAUUCCACGCGGUCUACACAGAAAUUUUUUAUGCCUUUUUUAUUAUAAAUUCUUAUGAGUGAAAAGUGUGUACUAUGGGGACACACCCGAAUUACACUUUUACUACACUCCACUAAGCACCCGUGUUGGUGUCAAAGGGGGGUAUGUACCAAUACACCCCGAUCACACUUAUGUUACACACUAUGCUAAAUUUUGGAACACUCAUAUCAGUGCAAAAGGGGUGUAUGCCGCAUAAUGCUCGAAGCUCCUGUGUUUUCUUUUUAAUUGUCAUAAUGUUUGUAACAUACAUAUAUAGUGCCUAUAUCUUCUUGUGUGUGUGUAUGGAUAACCUGGUACAUGCAAAUGGACGCGAAAAGUAACAGACCACAGGUAAUAAAGAGACUUGGGAAGCCGUAUAGGGAUUAAAAACAAUUGCUACUUUUAUUACAUUAAAAAAUUAAUGGGAGUUACUAGAGAUAGAUUUACAGUCAUAUUGCCAACUGUAGGACAACUGUACUCAUAGUUAGGGGUGGACCUUUUGGCAGUCGGCGCUGCUUUCAACAUGACUAAACCUGAAAAUAGGUGACAGGGGUUUGACUCCCUGGCUGGAAGGUUUACUGGUGCGGGUGACAUGGGAAUUAAAAUACACGUGUCUACGUAAGUAAAGAGCUAACUACUGCGAGUGAUUGUGAACUUAAUAUACGAAAAGAAAAAGUAGAAAAACCGAAGAUUACGAACAGCUAAGAAAAAACGAGGGAAGUUGGACAGCAACAGCCUUCAACAGCACUUGCAAAUGUCGAAGACAGGUUGCUGUUGCUGUGUCGA